GAUGCUAUUGUGUCGACUUUAACCGCUUGUUUCUUGUUGCUUUUUGCGAUUUAUAACGAUUUUUGUGUGUAUUUUAAGACUUUGUGCCCACAACGAAAGCGGUAAACGAGUAUAUUAUAAAAGCGACCGGUUUUUCUCCCGUUUUUGUGUGGAAAAAAUGACAACGUAGCGACAGUGUUUAUCCAGAAGCGAAAAACAGUAUUUUACUGAGAUUUUAACGUCAAUAUAAAGGUUAUUCCGUUGAAAAUCAAGACAACUAUGGAA
rnacentral:lncRNA from 1 species